rnacentral:lncRNA from 1 species
UUGAGGAGGCCCCCUCUGGGGCCAGUGGGGCUGCCUCUCUUCCUUUCAUCAGACACUGUGAACACAUUCCCUUAAGCGUAUCCUUUUUAAUAUCACAUCUAUUUGUCUGUCUGCUCAUUGUUUGUUGCUGGAACAAAAUACGCAGUACUUUAAGAGGCCCAGCUUCUGUGAAGAAAUCAGGAUCUCUGCUAUGUCACAGAGCAGGGGGAACCAACUGAGACCUGCUAGAGCAGACUGCAAAAGCACAGUGACUCAGCUGACAGAUUAUCACCAUCCCCAGUACAUCCCUUUCAUUGCCAGACAGACCCUGAACUAGCCCAGGCUAACCCACACUGGUGAUCAGACUUGAAAGCACUUUCUACCUUCACUUUCACCCUACAUCUCACUAGCCAAUGAAAGGCAGAGAGUCGGGCAUCUGCCAUUGCCUUGGCUACUGACACCAUUGUAGCCCUAGAAGGGCCAUCACGGGGUUCCCAUCAACUCCGGGGAGACUGAUGUUUUCACGUCCACUGGGCACAUGAUACUGCAUGAGACCAAAGUCUCCACACUGUCGGCAGCCUCCUCCGUGAGUCCCAGCGGCCUGCACUUGUACAGUUUGGGUGUUUGAUAGAUAAAGCACGUAUGAGAAGAGAAAACAAAAUAAAUCAACUUAAAAAAAAAGCCAGCACUGUGCUGUCAAUGUUCUUUUUUUUUUUUCCUUUCCAAUUCUAGCUUAAAAAAGCAGAAGGUAAAUAAUGUCAGGUCAAUGAAUAUCAGAUAUAUUUUUUGACUGUACAUUACAGUGAAGUGUAAUCUUUUUACACCUGCAAGUCCAUCUUAUUUAUUCUUGUAAAUGUUCCCUGACGAUGUUUGUAAUAUGGCUGUGUUGAAAAUCUAUACAAUAAAGCUGUGACCCUGAGAUUCAUGUUUUCCUAAAUCUUCGUGACUGGUGUCUUCCUGAGGUUGGGUGGGGUAAGGUAGAGACAAGUUGAAGGAGGAGGAAAAGCCUAUUAUGGACUAGAUUUUUUCC